CCUACGUGGAGCAGCAGUGAGGAAUAUUGGUCAAUGGGCGCGAGCCUGAACCCGCCCAGUAGCGUGAAGGAUGACUGCCCUACGGGUUGUAAACUUCUUUUAUAAAGGAAUAAAGUGAGGCGCGUGUGCCUUUUUUUGUGUACUUUAUGAAUAAGGAUCGGCUAACUCCGUGCCAGAAGCAGCGGUAAUACGGAGGAUCCGAGCGUUAUCCGGAUUUAUUGGUUUUAAAGGGAGCGUAGAUGGGUUGUUAAGUCAGUUGUGAAAGUUUGCGGCUCAACCGUAAAAUUGCAAUUGAUACUGGCAGCCUUGAGUACAGUUGAGGUAGGCGGAAUUCGUGGUGUAGCGGUGAAAUGCUUAGAUAUCACGAAGAACUCCGAUUGCGAAGGCAGCUUACUAAACUGCCACUGACAUUGAUGCUCGAAAGUGUGGGUAUCAAACAGGAUUAGAUACCCUUGUAGUC
rnacentral:rRNA from 1 species